rnacentral:lncRNA from 1 species
UUGAAUCAAAGAUGUUACUAAACUAGAAUUCAAAAAUGAGGGCCUAGUCUUUGUUCAGUGUGUUGUGCAAGUUUAUCAAUUUUUUAGUUGUUACUAUAAAUCAGGUAUUCUCUUGCGCAACUGUGACUAGUCUCUCGAGCCAUAUUUUUAUACGGAAAUGGACAACCUUCAUGAGGUGAUAGUCGAAAAGGUAUGUAAAAUCUAUGAUAAACUCUCUAAGCUAGAAAACCUUAAUCCUUCAA